AUCUGCAUAUUUAAAUAAUUAUGGUAUUGGAAACAUUAUUUUGGAAAAAAUCUAUUAAUUUGUGUACAUAAGUUAUGCAAGAUUUUGAUAUUUUCAUAUGAUACCAUUGUAUCCAUUUUCUUAAUUUGCAAUAAAAUAAUAAGAUGCCAAACAUGACCUGUGUUACAUAAACAGUCAACAAAAUAACAAGACAAUACCUAAAAACACCCCUUUUCACACCACUAACAAUAAACAGAUAACAAUCUGUCAGGCAUUCAGAGCUAAACAGGGUACUGAUUAUCAGGGGCAGAUAAGGCUACUGAUAGGGUUUGCCCAGACAUAAGGCUGGAAUGAGGUAUAAGACUUUUGAUUGGUUCAAUUUUUUGCACAGGAAAUUAUUUGAAAACAACAACUUUUGAAAAACAAGCUGGUUUCAGCAAUUGAAUUGAGCUAAAUUAAAUUAACAUUAAGACUUAUAAUUGUUCUGUAAAAUGUAUUGAAAUACUGUCAGCAUGAAGUAUUGUGUGAUGAAAACAAUGUGUAUUUUACUACAAUUUGGAAAUCAACAAUAAGUUUGUUGGAAAAGAAGUUCAACUGUUUUUUUUUGGAAUACUGAAGAACAGUUUUAACAGGUUAAACUCUUGCCCCAAGAGCAAAAGGGGUAAUCAUACUACCUGAUGUAUGGACUUUUACACCAGGCUUUUACCCUGCACGAGCUGGCCAACUUGAGGGGAACUGAAGUUGGCAAACCUCGCCCUGUCGUUGAACAAGAAAGCUGGAUUUGUUGAGAGAGUAUCAUUUAAGCUGAAAUCCAGCAUGAAACCAGGGAUGUGAUGGCCAUCGCACAGGCCAUGUGCCGACUAUUCACUUUCCACCAGCUUGUGACUUGCUCCAUGAAGGGAGCAACAACUACAAAGGGGUCACCAAGACCAAGCCUCCCCGCUGCUGAGAGAAAUGCAA